rnacentral:rRNA from 1 species
CAAAAACAUCGCCUCCCGCAAAAAUCAACGUAUAGGAGGUCUUGCCUGCCCAGUGACUAUGAGUUAAACGGCCGCGGUACUCUGACCGUGCAAAGGUAGCGCAAUCACUUGUCUUUUAAAUGAAGACCUGUAUGAAUGGUGGAACGAGGGCUUAACUGUCUCCCCCCUCUAGUCAAUGAAAUUGAUCUACCCGUGCAGAAGCGGGUAUAAUAAUACAAGACGAGAAGACCCUUUGGAGCUUAAGACAAAAGACCAACUACGCCAAGAGUCCUUAAAAACUAAACCAAGUAGCACUGGCCCUAGUCUUCGGUUGGGGCGACCGCGGGAGAAAACAAAGCUCCCAUGCGGACUGGGGUAAACCCCUAAAACUAAGAGAGACAUCUCCAAGGCACAGAACAUUUGACCAAAAAGAUCCGGCUAUACGCCGAUCAACGGACCAAGUUACCCUAGGGAUAACAGCGCAAUCCCCUUCCAGAGUCCAUAUCGACAAGGGGGUUUACGACCUCGAUGUUGGAUCAGGACAUCCUAAUGGUGCAGCCGCUAUUAAGGGUUC